GACGAACGCUGGCGGCGUGCUUAACACAUGCAAGUCGAACGGAAAGGCCCUGCUUUUGUGGGGUGCUCGAGUGGCGAACGGGUGAGUAACACGUGAGUAACCUGCCCUUGACUUUGGGAUAACUUCAGGAAACUGGGGCUAAUACCGGAUAGGAGCUCCUGCUGCAUGGUGGGGGUUGGAAAGUUUCGGCGGUUGGGGAUGGACUCGCGGCUUAUCAGCUUGUUGGUGGGGUAGUGGCUUACCAAGGCUUUGACGGGUAGCCGGCCUGAGAGGGUGACCGGCCACAUUGGGACUGAGGUACGGCCCAGACUCCUACGGGAGGCAGCAGUGGGGAAUAUUGCACAAUGGGCGGAAGCCUGAUGCAGCAACGCCGCGUGCGGGAUGACGGCCUUCGGGUUGUAAACCGCUUUCGCCUGUGACGAAGCGUGAGUGACGGUAAUGUGUAAAGAAGCACCGGCUAACUACGUG
rnacentral:rRNA from 1 species